UACGAAGGGUGCUAGCGUUAUUCGGAAUUAUUGGGCGUAAAGGGUGCGUAGGCGGCGCGUUAAGUCAACUGUCAAAUCUCCAGGCCUAACUUGGAGCUUGCAGUAGAUACUGGCGUGCUAGAGGUUGGAAGAGAGAAGUGGAAUUCUCGGAGUAGCGGUAAAAUGCGUAGAUCUCGAGAGGAACACCGAUGGCGAAGGCAGCUUCUUGGUCCAAAUCUGACGCUGAGGCACGAAAGCGUGGGGAGCAAACAGG
rnacentral:rRNA from 1 species